rnacentral:rRNA from 1 species
GACGAACGCUGGCGGCGUGCUUAACACAUGCCAGUCGAACGGAAAGGCCCUGCUUUUGUGGGGUGCUCGAGUGGCGAACGGGUGAGUAACACGUGAGUAACCUGCCCUUGACUUUGGGAUAACUUCAGGAAACUGGGGCUAAUACCGGAUAGGAGCUCCUGCUGCAUGGUGGGGGUUGGAAAGUUUCGGCGGUUGGGGAUGGACUCGCGGCUUAUCAGCUUGUUGGUGGGGUAGUGGCUUACCAAGGCUUUGACGGGUAGCCGGCCUGAGAGGGUGACCGGCAAAAUGGGGACAGAGAUACGGCCCAGACUCCUACGGGAGGCAGCAGUGGGGAAUAUUGCACAAUGGGCGGAAGCCUGAUGCAGCAACGCAGCGUGCGGGAUGACGGCCUUCGGGUUGUAAACCGCUUUCGCCUGUGACGAAGCGUGAGUGACGGUAAUGGGUAAAGAAGCACCGGCUAACUACGUG